GAACCUUACCUGGGCUCGAAAUGUAGUGGACCGGGGUGGAAACAUCCCUUCCCGCAAGGGUCGCUAUAUAGGUGCUGCAUGGCUGUCGUCAGCUCGUGUCGUGAGAUGUUGGGUUAAGUCCCGCAACGAGCGCAACCCUUAUUGUCAGUUGCCAUCAUUUAGUUGGGCACUCUGGCGAAACCGCCUCGGAUAACGGGGAGGAAGGUGGGGAUGACGUCAAGUCCUCAUGGCCUUUAUGUCCAGGGCUACACACGUGCUACAAUGGUCGGUACAAACCGUCGCAAACCCGUGAGGGGGAGCUAAUCGGAAAAAGCCGACCUCAGUUCGGAUUGGAGUCUGCAACUCGACUCCAUGAAGCUGGAAUCGCUAGUAAUCGCGGAUCAGAACGCCGCGGUGAAUACGUUCCCGGGCCUUGUCACACCGA
rnacentral:rRNA from 1 species